UGGUUCUGGCAUCGAUGAAGAACGCAGCGAAAUGCGAUAAGUAAUGUGAAUUGCAGAAUUCAGUGAAUCAUCGAAUCUUUGAACGCACAUUGCGCCCAUUAGUAUUCUAGUGGGCAUGCCUGUUCGAGCGUCAUUUCAACCCUUAAGCUUAGCUUAGUAUUGGGAAUCUGCUUAACCGCAGCUCCUUAAAUCUAGUUGGCAGAGUGCAGCUGUACUCCGAGCGUAGUAAUUCAUUAUCUCGUUCUGGAAGGCAGCGGUGCGAUCGCCAUAAACCUAUUUUUUUCUAAUGGUUGACCUCGGAUCAGGUAGGAAUACCCGCUGA
rnacentral:misc_RNA from 1 species